GACCCAAUCGUCAAGUUGGUUAAGACAUAACUCUUUCACUGUUACAUCGGGGGUUCAAGUCCUCCUUGGGUUA